AUUGAACGCUGGCGGCAGGCCUAACACAUGCAAGUCGAGCGAGCGGCGGACGGGAGAGUAAUGUAUGGGGACUGCCCGAUAGAGGGGGAUAACUAGGGGAAACUGUGUCUAAUACCGUAUAAUCUCGGAUAACACAUAUGGGAUUAGCUAGGAGGUGGGGUAAGGGCUCACCUAGGCGACGAUCUCUAGCUGGUCUGAGAGGAUGAUCAGCCACACUGGGACUGAGACACGGCCCAGACUCCUACGGAGGCAGCAGUGGGGAAUAUUGCACAAUGGGCGCAAGCCUGAUGCAGCCAUGCCGCGUGUAUGAAGAAGGCCUUAGGGUUGUAAAGUACUUUCAGUCGGGAGGCGUUACCCGCAGAAGAAGCACCGGCUAACUCCGUGCCAGCAGCCGCGGUAAUAC
rnacentral:rRNA from 1 species